rnacentral:tRNA from 1 species
UGCAGAAGUGGCGGAAUUGGCAGACGCGCACGGUUCAGGUCCGUGUGGUAGCAAUACCGUGAGGGUUCAAGUCCCUUCUUCUGCAU